ensembl:snoRNA SNORA24B small nucleolar RNA, H/ACA box 24
AUCCAUGAAUCCAUGGGAGCUGCCAUCUGUGGCUGACUCCCUUCCUAGACAUGGAAGAGCAGGGCCUUGCUAAUUGGCAUAGCUUUUACCCUCUUGUGGGUAGGAGUCGUUGACUGUGGCAAGUAACACAC